rnacentral:rRNA from 1 species
CCGCGUGAGGGAUGACGGCCUUCGGGUUGUAAACCUCUUUCAGUAUCGACGAAGCGCAAGUGACGGUAGGUACAGAAGAAGGACCGGCCAACUACGUGCCAGCAGCCGCGGUAAUACGUAGGGUCCGAGCGUUGUCCGGAAUUACUGGGCGUAAAGAGCUCGUAGGUGGUUUGUCGCGUUGUUCGUGAAAACUCACAGCUCAACUGUGGGCGUGCGGGCGAUACGGGCAGACUGGAGUACUGCAGGGGAGACUGGAAUUCCUGGUGUAGCGGUGGAAUGCGCAGAUAUCAGGAGGAACACCGGUGGCGAAGGCGGGUCUCUGGGCAGUAACUGACGCUGAGGAGCGAAAGCGUGGGGAGCGAACAGGAUUAGAUCCCCUGGUA